GAUGAACGCUGGCGGCGUGCCUAAUACAUGCAAGUCGAGCGAACAGAUAAGGAGCUUGCUCCUUUGACGUUAGCGGCGGACGGGUGAGUAACACGUGGGUAACCUACCUAUAAGACUGGGAUAACUUCGGGAAACCGGAGCUAAUACCGGAUAACAUUUGGAACCGCAUGGUUCUAAAGUGAAAGAUGGUUUUGCUAUCACUUAUAGAUGGACCCGCGCCGUAUUAGCUAGUUGGUAAGGUAACGGCUUACCAAGGCGACGAUACGUAGCCGACCUGAGAGGGUGAUCGGCCACACUGGAACUUGAACACGGUCCAGACUCCUACGGGAGGCAACAGUAGGGAAUCUUCCGCAAUGGGCGAAAGCCUGGCGGAGCAACGCCGCGUGAGUGAUGAAGGGUUUCGGCUCGUAAAACUCUGUUAUUAGGGAAGAACAAACGUGUAAGUAACUGUGCACGUCUUGACGGUGCCUAAUCAGAAAGCCACGGCUAACUACGUG
rnacentral:rRNA from 1 species